AAUAGAUACCCCGGUAGUCCACCCCGUAAACGUUGGGAACUAGUUGUGGGGUCCUUUCCACGGAUUCCGUGACGCAGCUAACGCAUUAAGUUCCCCGCCUGGGGAGUACGGCCGCAAGGCUAAAACUCAAAGGAAUUGACGGGGACCCGCACAAGCGGCGGAGCAUGCGGAUUAAUUCGAUGCAACGCGAAGAACCUUACCAAGGCUUGACAUACACCAGAACACCCUAGAAAUAGGGGACUCUUUGGACACUGGUGAACAGGUGGUGCAUGGUUGUCGUCAGCUCGUGUCGUGAGAUGUUGGGUUAAGUCCCGCAACGAGUGCAACCCUCGUUCUAUGUUGCCAGCACGUAAUGGUGGGAACUCAUGGGAUACUGCCGGGGUCAACUCGGAGGAAGGUGGGGAUGACGUCAAAUCAUCAUGCCCCUUAUGUCUUGGGCUUCACGCAUGCUACAAUGGCCGGUACAAAGGGCUGCAAUACCGGUGAGGUGGAGCGAAUCCCAAAAAGCCGGUCCCAGUUCGGAUUGAGGUCUGCAACUCGACCUCAUG
rnacentral:rRNA from 1 species